rnacentral:rRNA from 1 species
CCUACGGGAGGCAGCAGUGGGGAAUAUUGCACAAUGGGGGAAACCCUGAUGCAGCAACGCCGCGUGAGUGAAGAAGUAUUUCGGUAUGUAAAGCUCUAUCAGCAGGGAAGAAAAUGACGGUACCUGAGUCAGAAGCCCCGGCUAACUACGUGCCAGCAGCCGCGGGAAUACGUAGGGGGCAAGCGUUAUCCGGAUGUACUGGGUGUAAAGGGGGCGUAGACGGUGAGACAAGUCUGAAGUGAAAGCCCGGGGCUCAACCCCGGGACUGCUUUGGAAACUGCCUGACUGGAGUGCUGGAGAGGCAAGCGGAAUUCCUAGUGUAGCGGUGAAAUGCGUAGAUAUUAGGAAGAACACCAGUGGCGAAGGCGGCUUGCUGGACAGUAACUGACGUUGAGGCUCGAAAGCGUGGGGAGCAAACAGGAUUAGAUACCCGGGUAGUC